rnacentral:lncRNA from 1 species
AUGAGCAGAUUUUCUUCUCCUCGGAACGCUGCCAGAGCUGUUCUGGCCCCGAACACAAUCCUUGAGGUCUCUGCUCCCCGUGCCGCUCAGUUUCCUCUCGUCCUUCCUUCGCUGCUGAAAUACAGUCGCUGUGCGUUCAGCAGCAUCAUCCACCGGGAAAGCGCUUGCGGAAAACGAUUGCUGGCUCCUGAACUCCCCCUCUACCCCUCCUCCCGCCGGAGUGCCUCCCCCACCAUCCCCCCAUCCUUCCCACUCCCCCCGAGCUCUCACGGCCGCGGGGCCGGACGGGGCUCAGCUCCUCCCGCGGGGAUGCGGGGGGCGGGGCGCGGCGGCGGCGGCGGCGGCGGUCGGGGCGUCCGGAGCGGCUGCGGCACCGCACGGAGCGGAUGGAGCUGCGGCUGCCUGCCUUUCACCUGCAACUGUCUUACCCUGCAGGAGAGCAGCAAAUGGCCACAGCACAUCCAUCCCAGGUAGGAGCUUGGGGAAGCAGCCAUCGAGGCAGAGGUGCAAGAGAUGUGCCUUGCAGGGGGAGAAUGAGAUGCCCAGCGUUUGUGAGCCGGGGAGAGAAGCUGCUGGGGUUGGGGUUUCUCUCCUCGACAAGCUGUUUCCCCAGGCCACAGGUGGUUGCAGCAAGGAGCCUCUUCGCUUACAGGAGCCCGUGAGCUUUGCAGAUGUGGCCGUGUAUUUCAGCAGGGAGGAGUGGGCGCUGCUGGACCCUGCGCAGCGAGCGCUGUACUGGGAUGUGAUGCUGGAGACCUACGAGUGCAUAGCCUCGCUGGGUGAGGGCUCUGCUGCCAUUCCUACUUGUCCAGGCACCUUGGGAUGUACAGAAUGGGUCUUUGCAAGCAGGACAGUGAUGAAAUACGUUAAAAUUACCUGCUGGCUAAUGCUUCAUAAAAAUGCAUGAGUUUCAGAAGCCAUUUGUAUGCUCACCACUCUGAUGGAAGACUCAGAUGUGACAGUUGUCACUCUGGCAUCAGUCAGAAGGGGGAGGAUCAGCGCCCUGCAUGCUUCCCUUGCAUUGCUGUGUGUCACGUUUGUCAAGAAAAGCCCCAGCAUAGUUCUCAGAGGUGGAAAUUCCGAGUGUACUCCAAAGCAAGGCAGUCCGUGUUGGCCCCGUGUCACUCAGGCCCUGGUUGUGGUUUCAUAAGAAGGGAGGGGACGCACAGUGGAGGUGUUGCGUAAGCAGCUUUGCCAGAAUCAAGGAAAUGCUUUCAUCUCCACCAUUUCUAUCAUUUAAGCAUCUAAACCUGUGGUGAUCUCCCUGCUUGGAGGAGGGGAAGAUCCCUGGAUCCCAGAUGUUCACAGCCUGAAGGACAUGGCAGGAGACGUCUGCCCAGGUGAGGU